rnacentral:rRNA from 1 species
UUGGCGGGACGGGUGAGUAACGCGUGGAAAACCUGCCGUAUACUGGGGGAUAACACUUAGAAAUAGGUGCUAAUACCGCAUAAGCGCACAGCUUCGCAUGAAGCGGUGUGAAAAACUCUGGUGGUAUACGAUGGUUCCGCGUCUGAUUAGCUAGUUGGUGGGGUAAUGGCCUACCAAGGCAACGAUCAGUAGCCGGCCUGAGAGGGUGAACGGCCACAUUGGGACUGAGACACGGCCCAAACUCCUACGGGAGGCAGCAG